AUGUCUGGGCUUAAGAUAAAUUUCCUUAAGAGUGAAAUACUCUGUGUAGGAGGAGAUGACGAUCUGCUAACUUUCUACUCUGAUCUAUUUAAUUGCCAGAUUGGGCACUUUCCUAUGAGGUAUCUAGGAGUGCCUGUAAGUUUCUCCACUUUGCGAGCUCUUAAUUGGAGCUUUGUGGAUGACAAAUUCCUUAAAUGUUGUGAGUCGUGGAUUAGUAACUCGGCCUCCUCUGGGGGUAGAUUGACACUCCUGAAUUCUUCCCUUACUAGUAUCAUAUAUUACUACAUGUCUAUGUUCACGAUCCCUAAAAAAAUUAUUGAGAAAUUGGACAAGCACAGAAAAAAGUUUUUUUGGCAGGAAAAUAGUGGUCGAAAAAGAUACCACUUGGUGAAAUGGUCUAGAAUUUGUAGAUCCAAAAGCAAAGGGGGAUUAGGAGUCAAAGAUCUUCAUAUGCAAAAUAUCAGCCUCCUCACCAAAUGGUGGUGGAAGCUGGAGACACAACAUGGCCUUUGGCAAGAGGUAGUUCGGGCCAAAUAUCUUAAGAAUGACACAAUUUCCUCGGUGAAGUGUAAAUUUGGGGAUUCCCCCAUUUGGAAAGCCAUUUUGAAAGUUAAAGAGACAUACUUGGCAGGAAGAGAAGUGGUGAUGAAAUCUGGAGAUAUUACUAGGUUGUGGAAAGACACCAUUCUGGGGGAACCCCCUUUGCAAGAUCGAUUCCCAGCCUUAUUUGGGAUUUGUAAUUAUCAAGAGAUUACAGUAGCUGGCUUUAAGAGCUUUGUGGGCAAUGAUUUCUUUAGAAGACAAUUACAUCCUCCUCUAGUAGAUCAAUGGAAAAAGCUGGGAGAGGUGGUUAGAUCCUGGCCAGGGUCUAUGGAACCUGACCAGGUUUGUUGGGCCCUCGGUAAGAAAAAGAAAAAUUUCACUACUAAAUCAGUUUAUGGUUACCUGGAGAGGCAGCUGGUAGGAUGUGAUUACAUGUGGAUCUGGAAAGCGAAGAUACCCAAAAUUCAGAUUUUCCUUUGGCAAUUGUUUCAAGAUGCCAUUUUGACUAGAGAGGUUAUGAAAAAAAGGAACUGGCCUGGGAAUCCUAGAUGUUCAUUUUGUAGGAGCGUUGAAACAUCUCAGCACCUAUUCUUUACCUGUCCAGUGGCUCGGGUUGCCUGGAGAACGAUAGGCUGUGUGCUGGGCACAGACCUAUGCCCGAAUAACAUCUGGCAAUUUUUUUCUUAGUGCUAUGUAUUCUUACCUGAUGGAGCCAGAUUCUAUACCUUUGGACUGGCAGCCAUAUGCUGGGCUAUCUGGAACAGUCGUAACCAAGUUACUUUUGAGCAUAAACAACUUAAAACACCUUUUAAUGUGGUGUACUCUGCGUGUGGCUUUUUGAUAUACUGGGCAGGCUUGAUGACUGGUGCUGACAAGGAGGCAAUGGAGCGUGGUACCAAGAUGCUCAAGACAAUGAUGGAUUGA
rnacentral:rRNA from 1 species